ACCUAAUCCGAGGCAGAGAGCGUAGGAGAUGGACAACUGGUUGAUAUUCCAGUACCGGUAGUAAUUGUUUGAGCAAUGGAGUGACACAGAAGGGCAGGCAAGCAUGCGAAUGGAAGAGCAUGUGUAAGCGUGUAGGGUGGUGCAUAGGCAAAUCCGUGCACUGAAAGCCUGAGGCGUGAUGCGGAGUGAGCAGAGAUGCGAGCGAAGUUGUUGACCCCACACUGUCGAGAAAAGCUUCUAGUGAGAGAGCUACCGCCCGUACCGUAAACCGACACAGGUAUGCGGGGAGAGAAUCCUAAGGUGCGCGGGAGAACCCUCGUUAAGGAACUCGGCAAAAUGUACCCGUAACUUCGGGAUAAGGGUAGCCACUGUUGUGAAGUCCCAUGCGGAUGGAGCAUAGAGUGGUCGCAGAGAAGAGGCCCAAGCGACUGUUUACCAUAAACACAGGUGCCUGCUAAAGCGAAAGCUGACGUAUAGGUGCUGACACCUGCCCAGUGCCGGAAGGUUAAGGAAGGAUGUUCGGAUUAGUCCAAAGCAUUCGACUGAAGCCCCGGUGAACGGCGGCCGUAACUAUAACGGUCCUAAGGUAGCGAAAUUCCUUGUCGGGUAAGUUCCGACCCGCACGAAAGGUGUAACGAUUUGGGCACUGUCUCAACGAGGGACCCGGUGAAAUUGAAAUACCUGUGAAGAUGCAGGUUACCCGCGACUGGACAGAAAGACCCCAUGGAGCUUUACUGUAACCUGACAUUGGGUUUUGAUACAUUACGUACAGGAUAGGUGGGAGGCUUGGAAAGUUGGACGCUAGUCUGACUGGAGCCGACGUUGGGAUACCACCCUUGAUGUAUUGAAAUUCUAACCGCGAGAGUAACGAAAUCCGGGACAGUGUCAGGCGGGCAGUUUGACUGGGGCGGUCGCCUCCGAAAGAGUAACGGAGGCGCCCAAAGGUUCCCUCAGCGCGGCCGGAAAUCGCGCGAAGAGUGUAAAGGCAGAAGGGAGCUUGACUGCGAGUCAAACACGACGAGCAGGUACGAAAGUAGGGCUUAGUGAUCCGGUGGUACCGAGUGGAAGGGCCAUCGCUCAACGGAUAAAAGCUACCCUGGGGAUAACAGGCUAAUCUCUCCCAAGAGUCCAUAUCGACGGGGAGGUUUGGCACCUCGAUGUCGGCUCAUCACAUCCUGGGGCUGAAGUCGGUCCCAAGGGUUGGGCUGUUCGCCCAUUAAAGUGGUACGUGAGCUGGGUUCAGAACGUCGUGAGACAGUUCGGUCCCUAUCCAUCGCGGGCGCAAGAGAUUUGAAGGGGGCUGCUCCUAGUACGAGAGGACCGGAGUGGACGAACCGCUGGUGUACCAAUUAUCCCGCCAGGGGUACAGUUGGGUAGCUACGUUCGGAAAGGAUAAACGCUGAAAGCAUCUAAGCGUGAAACCAGCCUUAAGAUGAGAUCUCUCAUAGAGCAAUCUAGUAAGACACCUUAAAGAAGAUGAGGUUGAUAGGUCGGGAGUGUAAGUACAGCAAUGUAUUGAGCGGACCGAUACUAAUAUGUCGAGGGCUUGACUUA
rnacentral:rRNA from 1 species